rnacentral:rRNA from 1 species
CGCACGGGUGCGUAACACGUGUGUAACCUACCCUUGUCAGGGGGAGCCUCUCGAAAGAGAGAUUAAGACCGCAUAAAAUCACAAUGCAGCAUUGCAUAAUGAUAAUAUUUAUAGGACAAGGAUGGGCAUGCGGAACAUUAGCUAGUUGGUAAGGUAACGGCACCAAGGCUACGAUGUUUAGGGGAUCUGAGAGGAUGACCCCCCACACUGGUACUGAGACGGACUCAGACCCCUACGGGAGGCAGCAGUAAGGAAUAUUGGUCGAAUGGACGGAAGAGAACCAGCCAUGCCGCGUGCAGGAAGACGGCCCUACGGGUUGUAAACUGCUUUUGCAGGAAUAAACCCUUCUAUGUAUAGAAGGCUGAAUGUACUCUGAGAAUAAGGAUCGGCUAACCGUGCCAGCAGCCGCGGUAAUACGGAGGAUCCGAGCGUUAUCCGGAUUUAUUGGGUUAAGGGUGCGUAGGUGGUUUUUUAAGUCAGGGGUGAAAGACGGCAGCUUAACUGUCGCAGCCCUUGAUACUGAAGAACUUGAAUGAACUAGAGGUAGGCGGAAUGUGACAAGUAGCGGAAAUGCAUAGAUAUGUCACAGAACACCGAUUGCGAAGGCAGCUUACUAUGGUUAGAUACACUGAGGCACGAAAGCGUGGGGAUCAAACAGGAUUAGAUACCCUGGUAGUCCACGCUAAACGAUGAAUACUCGAUGUUGGCGAUAUACGGUCAGCGUCUAAGCGAAAGCGUUAA